UCAUUAAAAUAAAAAGUCGCUCAUAUAAUCGCAGUAAUAUGGUCUGCAAGUUUCUACCGGGAAGCCUUAAAGUUCCCGACUAUGGGUGGGUAACUGCCGUGG
rnacentral:ncRNA from 2 species